rnacentral:rRNA from 1 species
GACGUAGGGCGCGAGCGUUGUCCGGAUUUAUUGGGCGUAAAGAGCUCGUAGGCGGCUCGUUGCGUCGGCUGUGAAAACCCACAGCUUAACUGUGGGCCUGCAGCCGAUACGGGCGAGCUAGAGUUCGGUAGGGGAGACUGGAAUUCCUGGUGUAGCGGUGAAAUGCGCAGAUAUCAGGAGGAACACCGGUGGCGAAGGCGGGUCUCUGGGCCGAUACUGACGUGAGGAGCGAAAGCGUGGGGAGCGAACAGG